rnacentral:rRNA from 1 species
UUGGAGGGCAAGUCUGGUGCCAGCAGCCGCGGUAAUUCCAGCUCCAAUAGCGUAUAUUAAAGUUGUUGCAGUUAAAAAGCUCGUAGUUGAAUUUCGGGAUCAGAGUGUCGGUCGUGCCUCGGUACGUACUGGUAUUAUUGGUUCCUACCUUCUGAAGAACCGCGAUGUCAUUAAUUUGGUGUCGUGGGGAAUCAGGACUGUUACUUUGAAAAAAUUAGAGUGUUUAAAGCAGGCUACGCUUGAAUACAUUAGCAUGGAAUAAUGAAAUAGGACGUUUGAUUCUAUUUUGUUGGUUUCUAGGAUUGACGUAAUGAUUAAUAGGGAUAGUUGGGGGCAUUAGUAUUCAAUUGUCAGAGGUGAAAUUCUUGGAUUUAUUGAAGACUAACUACUGCGAAAGCAUUUGCCAAGGAUGUUUUCAUUAAUCAAGAACGAAAGUUAGGGGAUCGAAGACGAUCAGAUACCGUCGUAGUCUUAACCAUAAACUAUGCCGACUAGGGAUCGGAUGAUGUUAAUUUAUAAUGACUCAUUCGGCGCCUACGGAAAC